UGAAGUGUGGAAUCAAAACCAGUUGCUCUGUAAAAGCAGAGAGCAGGAUGGUGGUUCCCAGGAGCUCGGGGUUUAGGAGAACAGGAGCUGUUACCCAAAGAGUACAAAACUUCAGUGAUGCAGCAUGAGUCAUUUCUGGACAUCUGUCCUACAACUGGGUCCCGACAGUGAAUAACACUCUGUUGUUUGCUUAAAUUUGCUGCUCUGUGAGCUGGGGUUAUGGCUCAGUUGCAGAGCAUUUGCUGGGCACAUGUGAGGUCCUGGGUUCGAUCCUUAGCACCACACAAAAAUAAAUAAAAGAAAUGUAUUGUGUCCAACUACAACUAAAAUUUUUUUAAAUUGUUGUGCUUGAAAGUGUUCUCAUUACACACCCACAAACACAAACACACACAGACACACACACAUAUAUGAGUGGGUGGAUAUGUUAAUUAGCUUGAUUACAGUAAUCAUCAUUGUACAAGAUACAUGUAUAUCACAUGGUGCUUUUAUUUUAUUUUUAAGCAGUUGUUAUUAUAUUAAGUUAUUAAGACAAGUACAAAAUAACCUUGUAAUCAGGAUACUGUAUCAGUCACUGAAAGAGUGGCAUCCAGUA
rnacentral:lncRNA from 1 species